CACACGUGCCGAAGAUGAUUCUAGCUCCGAAAUGUCAAAAAAUAAUGAAAAGUCAUGGAUUGAAAAUGAUGCCUUACUUGUCUACAAUACCCGACAUU